CAACGCCGGAAAUCUCACCGGGGCGACAGCAAUAUGAAGGUCAGGCUGAAGACCUUACCCGAUUAGCUGAGAGGUGGUGCAUGGCCGUCGUCAGUUCGUACUGUGAAGCAUCCUGUUAAGUCAGGCAACGAGCGAGACCCACGUCCACAGUUGCCAGCAUACCCUCCGGGGUGAUGGGUACACUGUGGAGACCGCCGCUGCUAAAGCGGAGGAAGGAGUGGGCAACGGUAGGUCAGUAUGCCCCGAAUCUCCCGGGCUACACGCGGGCUACAAUGGUUGGUACAAUGGGCAUCUACCCCGAAAGGGGAAGGAAAUCUCUUAAAGCCAAUCGUAGUUCGGAUUGAGGGCUGCAACUCGUCCUCAUGAAGCUGGAAUCCGUAGUAAUCGCGUUUCAACAGAACGCGGUGAAUACGUCCCUGCUCCUU
rnacentral:rRNA from 1 species